GAAUGUUCAAGCGGAUCCAGAAAGGUUGUUGUGCAAAGGAGUGGUAAUUAUUUCCAAUUCUGAAUCUAUAUUAGGAUUUUGGAAUUAUGCAUGUAUUUUAUUAAUUUUGUGCAUGUUUUAAAAUAGAACGGAUACUGACCUAAUUUUUGAUGAAGAACAUAACCCGGACCUAUGACAAGUGAACCUAAGCUAUUAGAAUUUACGAAAAGAUAAUACUAGAAACAAAC
rnacentral:lncRNA from 1 species